rnacentral:rRNA from 1 species
AGUGAACGCUGGCGGUAGGCCUAACACAUGCAAGUCGAACGGCAGCACAGUAAGAGCUUGCUCUUACGGGUGGCGAGUGGCGGACGGGUGAGGAAUACAUCGGAAUCUACUUUUUCGUGGGGGAUAACGUAGGGAAACUUACGCUAAUACCGCAUACGACCUACGGGUGAAAGCAGUGGAUCUUCGGACCUUGCGCGAUUGUAUGAGCCGAUGUCGGAUUAGCUAGUUGGCGGGGUAAAGGCCCACCAAGGCGACGAUCCGUAGCUGGUCUGAGAGGAUGAUCAGCCACACUGGAACUGAGACACGGUCCAGACUCCUACGGGAGGCAGCAGUGGGGAAUAUUGGACAAUGGGCGCAAGCCUGAUCCAGCAAUACCGCGUGGGUGAAGAAGGCCUUCGGGUUGUAAAGCCCUUUUGUUGGGAAAGAAAAGCAGCAGGUUAAUACCCCGCUGUUCUGACGGUACCCAAAGAAUAAGCACCGGCUAACUUCGUG